rnacentral:rRNA from 1 species
CCUACGGGAGGCAGCAGUGGGGAAUAUUGGACAAUGGGCGAAAGCCUGAUCCAGCCAUGCCGCGUGUGUGAAGAAGGCCUUCGGGUUGUAAAGCACUUUCAGUGGGGAAGAAAGCCUUGGGGCUAAUACCCUCGAGGAAGGACAUCACCCACAGAAGAAGCACCGGCUAACUCCGUGCCAGCAGCCGCGGUAAUACGGAGGGUGCGGGCGUUAAUCGGAAUUACUGGGCGUAAAGCGCGCGUAGGCGGUCUGAUAAGCCGGUUGUGAAAGCCCCGGGCUCAACCUGGGAACGGCAUCCGGAACUGUCAGGCUAGAGUGCAGGAGAGGAAGGUAGAAUUCCCGGUGUAGCGGUGAAAUGCGUAGAGAUCGGGAGGAAUACCAGUGGCGAAGGCGGCCUUCUGGACUGACACUGACGCUGAGGUGCGAAAGCGUGGGUAGCAAACAGGAUUAGAUACCCUAGUAGUC